GCACGCAAGAAGUCGUUUGAUCACUUGAAGAGGCCUUACAGUUUGUGAAAUCGGCAACUGUUAUGUUCAGGAUGGAGAUUGAUUCACCAUCAUCAUCAUCAUCAUCUGAACUUGAUGCACCUAUUCUUUCACCAAAAGAUCGUAUACUCAAGAGGCUAGCUCUAAUAGAUGUGUCUGAAGAGAGUCUUGAGCAUAUGCAGCCCGGGAUAAUCGCAUAUGUUAAAAGAAACAGUUCCAGAUUACAAGAAAUUUUUAAUGCGAUUUUACCAUCUGAUUAUGAGAUUCAGACCGCCAUUGAAGCAGAGGCAGACCCUGGCAUUGAGGAUUUACUACAUGAAAGCAUGGUUUGGUUGCAGUGGUUGAUGUUUGAUGGUGAUCCUGUUGACAUGCUACAACGACUGGCGUUGUUGAAUGUUGGGCAACGUGGUGUUUGUGGAUCCGUGUGGGCCAGUGGUGAGAUGGCAUACCGUUGUAGAACAUGCGAAAUUGAUCCCACUUGUGCAAUUUGCGUCCCGUGUUUUGUAAACGGUGAUCAUAAAGAUCAUGAUUACUCAGUUAUAAAAACAGGCAGUGGAUGCUGUGAUUGUGGGGACGUGACAGGAUGGAAACGUAGCGGAUUUUGUUCUAAACAUAAAGGAGCAGAACAAAUACAACCACUUCAAGAAGAUAUUGCAAAGACUCUAGGUCCUGUUUUGGAUUGUCUUCUUCGUCACUGGAAAAACAGUUUAUUAUUCAUGGAUAAUGCUUCAGAACCAAAAGCGGUUGCAGAUGUGCUGACAUCAGCAGUGGUGGGGAUGCUUUUGGAAUUUUGUAAGUGCAGUGAAAGCUUGCUUGGUUUUGUUUCCGGAAGAUUAUGCUAUGAGGUUGAUUUGCUGGACGUUCUCGUAAGGGCAGAGCGGUUUUUGAGCUUGGAUGCUGUCUCAAAGCUUCACAAACUACUUUUAAAGUUGCUAAGUGAUCCUUUUUUCAAAUACGAGUUUGCAAAGGCUUUUAUAAAGUAUUAUCCCACAGUCGUAAAUGACGUUUUGCAAGAGAGUACAGAUGCUACUUUUCAGAACCUACCACUACUAUCAACAUUCGGGGUUCAGAUUUUCACUGUCCCUACCCUGACUCCACGUCUCGUUAAGGAAAUGGAUCUUUUAACCAUGCUUUUGGAGUGUUUGAGCAAGAUAUUCAGUUCUUGUUCUGGACAGGAUCAUCGACUAGAAGUUUCAGAGUGGGAAGAUAUGUACAAAACAACACAAUAUGUUGUUAAACAUAUUGAAUAUGUCAUGAGCCAUUCAACUAUACCAAAAUACAUGACAUGUGAGAGGCGUGGCAUUUCCAGAACGUGGAUGAAACUAUUAGGUUUUUUGCAGGGAAUGAACCCUGAAAAAAGAGAAAUACAUAUUCAUGUAGAAGAAGAAAAUGAAAAUAUCGAUUUACCUUUUCUUUUAGUCGGUUCCAUUGCAAAUAUUAAUGUUUUAUUAGUAGCUGGUGCGUUUUCCACCAAAGAGGAAUCAGUUUCCACUAUAAAUGUGAAGGUAGUUAAUGAACAGGACUCUUUUUCUAGUCUAACUUCGUUGGAUUAUGAAAUGAAGGCUGUUGAAGGAAAUGAUGCUCGUGUUUCAGUUUUGACUUCAGUUUCAUGGUUAAUCUUCGAGUGUUUACGGGCCAUUGAAUACUGGUUGAAAGCUAACAAUACAUCAGGUUUUGGAGGUCAUGGGGUGGAAGGGGAUUAUACAAAUGAAUUAGAGGUUUUAAGUUUGGCAGAUUGGCCAGAAAUUGAAUAUGAUGUUAGUUCACAAGAGAUAUCGGUGCAUAUCCCGUUGCAUCGUUUGCUCUCAUUGGCUUUACAAAGAGCAUUGAAGAGGUGUUAUGGUGAAUCUGAGUCAUCUGCUUAUGGUGAUUUUUUUGGCCACGUGUUAGGUGGCUGCCACCCGUACGGAUUCUCUGCUUUUGUGAUGGAACAUCCUCUGCGUAUUAGGGUUUUCUGUAGUCAAGUUCGUGCGGGGAUGUGGCGGAAGAAUGGUGAUGCAGCACUAGCAUCUUACGAGUGGUAUCGUUUUGUUAAAUGGUCAGAGCAGGGUUUGGAACUUGAUAUAUUUCUUCUACAGUGCUGUGCUGCAUUAGCUCCAGCAGACUUUUAUAUUGCUAGAAUCGUAGAACGUUUUGGUCUAUCAGAUUACCUUUCUUUGAAUAUGGAAAGAGCUAACGAGUAUGAACCGGCUUUGGUGCAGGAGAUGCUAAAUCUUAUCAUACAAAUAUUGAAAGAAAGACGAUUUUGUGGAUUGACUACAGCUCAAUGUCUGCAGCGUGAGUUAAUUUAUAAGUUAUCAUCCGGCAACGCUACUCACAGUGAACUGGCCAAUUCCCUUCCUCGUGACCUUUCUAAUGUUGACCAACUUCAACAAGUUCUGGAUACCGUAGCUGAGUACACGUAUCCAUCUGGAACCAAACAGGGUAUGUACCAAUUGCGUUUAGAGUACUGGAAAGAACUAGAUUUGUACCAUCCUCGUUGGAAUUUACAAGACUUACAAGCUGCAGAAGAAAGAUACUUGCGUUUUUGUAAUGCUUCGGCUAUGGCAAAUCAGCUUCCGAAGUGGUCAAAGAUUUAUCCUCCUCUUAACGGGUUAGCUAAAGUAGCUACAUGUAAAACGGUUCUACAAAUCAUUCGGGCUGUUCUCUUUUACGCACUUUUUACUGAUAAGUUGAUGGAAUCACGUGCUCCGGACGGUGUUCUUGUAACAUCUUUACACUUGCUAUCAUUAGCAUUGGACAUUUCUCAAGUGCAGAUCCAAGGUGGUGAUAUGGAUAAUUCUAUUCCUCUUUUAGGCUAUGCUGGUGAGGAAAUAUUUACGGGGUUCAAUGAUGGACAUGAUCAUCAAAGCUUAUUAUCACUUCUUGUGUCAUUAAUGAGAAAAAAUCAAAAAGAAAACACGUACGGUUUUGUGGAAUCUGGUGGGUUUGACCUCUCUUCUUUGAUCAAGGAUCUUCUUCAGAAAUUUGCUGAGCUGGAUUCUGGAUGCCUAAAAAAAUUGCAAAUAUUAGCACCUGAGGUUGUUAAUCUGCUAUCUCAUUCCAAGCCUAGUAGCGAUACAAGUAAUAGCGCUUCCAUGUCCGACAGUGAUAAACGAAAGGCCAAAGCUCGUGAGAGACAAGCUACAAUAAUGGAAAAAAUGAAGGCACAACAGUCAAAAUUCAUGGAGAACAUAAAUUCAACUGCAGAGAGUGGCUUAAAUGAUUCUAGUGAUGCUGAAGAAAGAAUUUCCGAUGUUGCAAACGGUUCAGAUGGACAUGAGCAAGUAAUCUGUUCUCUUUGUCAUGAUGCCAAUUCCAAGUCACCUGUGUCUUUUCUAAUUCUUCUCCAGAAAUCCAGUGUUGCGAGUUUACUUGAUAAAGGUUUCCCAUCAUGGGAAAAAGACGUUCAAAGGUCUGGGAAGGAGCAAGCUUUAAAUAAUGAUGAUACGUUUAAUAAUCAAUCUUCAAGUAGUGUAGAAACGCUAACGUCAUCCCAGUUGAUGGAUUCGGUUCAGAAUGCAAUUAAUGAAUUUGCUUCCACCAGUCUGCCACAUGAGGUUAAUGCUUUUCCUCGAUCAUCACAUGAUAAUAGCAGUCAAGCAGCCACGUCUUUGGGUGAUCUGUUUGAAGAAAGUAUGUAUACACAUAUUCUGAACAAUGAUUUGAUGAAGUCCGAGGAUCUGUCAGCUGCUAGUUGUAGUUCAAGUUCAUAUGGCAGUUCAAAUGAAUCACUUUUGCUUGGAAAAUACGUUGCUUCUUUGUAUGAUGAAAUAGCGAAUAAUCCGUCACCUUCAGAAACUAGAGGGUCCCAUAGUAACACAACACCGAGUUCAGUAACUUUAGGUAUGACAUAUGAUGGUUUUGGCCCGUCAGAUUGCAAUGGAAUUUAUGUUUCUUCCUGUGGGCAUGCUGUGCAUCAGGGUUGCCUUGAUCGUUAUCUACCGUCACUGAAAGAAAGAGAUUCUAGAAGAACUGAUCUUGAAGGAGGUCAUAUUGUGGAUCCACGUCAGGGGGAGUUUUUAUGUCCUGCUUGUCGUGGACUUGCAAAUUCUAUUUUACCUGAUUUACCUAGAGAAGAAACAAAGGACAUCUGGCAAUCAAAAAGUCAAAAUCUAUUCCCUUCAGAUGUUAAUAAUGUUUCUCUCCUUAGACGACCACUUUCUCUUUUGCAAGCUGCAGCUGAUGUUUCUAGAAGAAAUGAAAUUUUAAGGGCUAUUCCAGUGCAACAAAAAAGACAAAAAGACACAAAUCUAGAAUAUAUGGUUCCUUUGCUACGUGAAUUGUAUUUCCCGGGAAAUGACAAAGUUUCAGGAUCGAGUCGGGUAAGUGACUCGAUGAUCAUGUGGGACACCCUCAAAUAUUCCCUUGUAUCUACAGAAAUAGCUGCUAGAUCCGAAAAGACUUCUUCAGCUACCAUUCUUAGCACUGGUGCCUUGUAUGAAGAACUAAGAUCUUCGAAUGGGUUUAUUUUAUCAUUAUUACUGAAAAUUGCUCAAAAAAACCGAGUCCAAAGUUCUCUUGAUAUUCCCUUAAGAUUAUGGUGUACUCAGCAGUUCGCAAAGUCUAUUUGUUGUGUUGACACUCUCAAUGAACCACGCAAUGACGCCUAUAGAGUUGGGGAAUAUAUGACGAGCACGUUGGGAAGCACUGACAUGAGCAUACGAUUCCCUAAUCUUCAAGUUUGGGCGAUGGCAUCGUAUCCUGUACUUGCAUCUGAUGCGUUUUCAACUUUAAUGUGGAUCCUUUUUUGUCUUCCGGUCCCGUUUAUGUACUCUGAGAAAACAUUCUUUCCUCUUGUUCAUAUAUGCUAUGUUGUCUCCAUAACUCAGGCCGCAAUAACAUAUAUCGGAAGAAAUGAAUCUAUACAUGAUUUCCGUCACCAUGAUUCUCUUCUCAGUGACAUUUUCAAAUUCGUGGGUGAACAUGGAUUCUUAAAACAGUACUUUGUUUGCAACUAUAUCAACAACUCUUGUGAUAUCAACGAGUCUAUUCGUAGGCUAAGCUUUCCGUUUCUACGAAGGUGUGCCAUCCUGUGGAAAUUAAUGAACUCUUCAACUUCAUCACCAUUUAGUGGGGUCCUUAGAUCAUCAAAAACAUUUGAAGAUAGAAUGGAUCAUGCUUCUGGCACGCUUAACGAAACUAUUGAAAUCGAGGAGUUGGAGAAGGUGUUUAAGAUUCCACCACUGGACAACAUAGUUAAUGAUGAGCUGUCACGAUCUUUGGUUAAGAAAUGGUUGCAACACAUUGCAAAGGAUUUUAAAGUUAAUAAUCCUUCAGGGGUUUUGCACUUAACCCCUGUAGUCCCAGUUAAGUUAAUGGUCUUGCCUUAUCUCUACCAAGAUCUCUUGCAAAGAUACAUGAAAUGGAAGUGUGUUAACUGUGGAGCUGCUCAGGAUAAACCUGCAUUAUGCUUGUUGUGUGGUUUAUUGUGCUCACCAAGAUGGAAGACGUGCUGCAGGGAUGACACAUGCCAAACUCAUGCAAUGUCUUGUGGUGCUGGUACUGGUGUAUUUCUGUUGAUUAGGGAAACUAGAAUAUUACUUCAAAGAUCAGCUCAUCAAGCAUUUUGGCCGUCUCCUUACCUGGAUGCGUUUGGUGAAGAGGACAUUGGAAUGCGUAGGGGAAAGCCGUUAUAUUUAAAUGAAGAACGCUAUGCGGCCUUAAGUCACAUGGUGGCUUCUCAUGGUAUUGGUCGCAGUUCAAAAGUGUAGCAUCAAACAUCAACCAAUGCUUUCCUAACGCUUUAGAUUGGAUUCUUUGUAGAUGAGUUCUACCUAAGGUGACUAACAAACGAAUCAUAUCUUGCCACAUGGACUGUCAUGGAGUUAUCUUUUGUUCUGCAUGAGGAAAAAAACCCCCUACAUCCUUUUAUGAAACGUUUUCCCUAAUUUGAUUAAGCUGACUUCUAAAUCAGCUUAAUAUCCCGGUUUUCUUCAUGGGAAUUUGACUAAUAGUGUAGCAGAGUUACGGUGACGAGUCGGUGUGCGAAGGCAGAACGACGAGGUGGUGUCCCUAAGCAGUGGCGGAGUGGCGGAGCUAGCCGAAAAGUUCAGGGGUAUCCCAUUUAUUUUUAUUAGGGGUAUCAUUUAUAUAAAAAGAUAAAAAAAUUUACACUACGUAGACAGAGUUGAAGGGUAUUUUUACACUACGAAGACGGAGUUGAGGGGUAGCCCAGGUUACCCUUCGUUAUACAUUGCCUCCGCCACUGUCCCUAAGCACGACAACGAGAGACUUGAAGCUGUUGUGGAUGGUUUCGUCGGAGAAGGUGAGUUGUGGGGUAAAAAGGAGGUUGCCAAAGUGGUGGUUGUGGAUUGCCAGAAAAAUGUUUGCCGGAGAGGGUGGACCAAGUGGUGGCCUCGAUUUAGUGCCACCGUGUCUCCGCUGUAUGCCGCAGGAAAAAGCCACAAGAGCAAGAGCUGCCACCCAAUUUCUUAAUUAUGUGUGUUAGGUGAAAAGGUUAAUAAUUGAUGGUUUUUUUAAAUAUAUUAGGUGGUUGUAGUGGCGGUUUUACGGUGGUGACCGGUGGUGGUGAUGUUAUGGUGGUGGGUGUAGAGAAAAUAGAUAUUGAAAAGGGUUGCAAGUUUUGAAAGGUGAAAAGAGGGUUCUCAGUUUUCACAUAUU